UGGGGAAUUUUGGACAAUGGGCGAAAGCCUGAUCCAGCAAUGCCGCGUGUGUGAAGAAGGCCUUCGGGUUGUAAAGCACUUUUGUCCGGAAAGAAAUCCUUGGCUCUAAUACAGUCGGGGGAUGACGGUACCGGAAGAAUAAGCACCGGCUAACUACGUGCCAGCAGCCGCGGUAAUACGUAGGGUGCAAGCGUUAAUCGGAAUUACUGGGCGUAAAGCGUGCGCAGGCGGUUUGCUAAGACCGAUGUGAAAUCCCCGGGCUCAACCUGGGAACUGCAUUGGUGACUGGCAGGCUAGAGUAUGGCAGAGGGGGUAGAAUUCCACGUGUAGCAGUGAAAUGCGUAGAGAUGUGGAGGAAUACCGAUGGCGAAGGCAGCCCCCUGGGCCAAUACUGACGCUCAUGCACGAAAGCGUGGGGAGCAAACAGGAUUAGAUACCCUGGUAGUCCACGCCCUAAACGAUGUCAACUAGUUGUUGGGGAUUCAUUUCCUUAGUAACGUAGCUAACGCGUGAAGUUGACCGCCUGGGGAGUACGGUCGCAAGAUUAAAACUCAAAGGAAUUGACGAGGUCAUAGCUGUUUCCU
rnacentral:rRNA from 1 species